GGCAACUUCAUCAAUGAACUGAAGGGAAGAUGGCAAGAUUUCUGCCAGAAGGUGCAGUUUUUUGGUGUAUGGAAAAAGACGCUGAAGCCCCCAAUGGGACUGGAUAAAGCUGAACAGGCUCUUGAGAUCCUGCGUGUGCUGCCAUCACUGUUCCCAUCCACCUCUGCUCCUCCAAAGAGGGCACGGGAUGCGAGUGAGGCUCUGGUGCAUGUCCUUGAGGACCAAGAAGACCCUAAUACCUAUUUGAUGAAACGUCCUCUCUCCUGCCCAGUCCUGAUCGUGAGUCCGUCCAACUGCAUCCUAGCGGUAGGAGAUGUGCCAAUAACCACGUUUCCA